AAUUUGGAUUUUGGCCAAUUUUGGAAGUUCCCUUUCCCAGGCUGUCCAUUUUGCUUUAAUACUUUCAGAAAUAUCUGGAUCAUCCCAUCCUCGUGCAGGUUUAGUCCACAAUUGCUGUAGUAGAAUCUUAGCACAGGUAGUAAAGGGAAUUAUGAAGCCUAAAGGAUCAUACUGUCGAGCGAGAAUAUGAUACAGGAUUAGUAAUGUCAAGCUCUUAUAUUUCACAGGGUGAUGCUUAUAUCCCAGAAUAUCCUACAUUGCCAGCUCAUACCAAGAGUGCCUUCACAUGGGUCCUUACAAUCAUGGCUCAGCCAUAGCUCUGUUUGAGGGGAACGUGCUUCAGCAGACAGUAGGAAAACUCUGCAAACAAUUAUCCACAUAAAAGGAGAAAGCGUAACAAAAGGGGCUUGUCUGAAGGCAACAAUCGAACCUGAUGGAACAUGGCCCGAACAUCACCACUGACUGCAAUUUGAUGUUCUCUGAAACGAAGCAGAACUCCCAGAAGAGAAGGACCCAGGGUAGGACCAGAUUGUGAUGAUGCCGUCAAGACGUGUUUCUGCUGUGAUGGAGGCCUGUGAUGCUGGAAUGCUGAAGAUUAUGCCUGAGUGGAGCAUGCAUGCUAAAUGGCUUCUUUAGUAUUUUAUUUAUUUUUAUUUUAUUUUAUUUCCAAAUAAAAAAUGUUUUGAGGGAAUCUGGUGUUUAUCACAUAAUUCUUGAAAUGUAAGAAGUAUUCCAUCCAUAUACAAGUCUUUAAUAGUCUGAAUACCUUUAGUUUUCCAUAGUUUAAAUCCUCCAUCCUUAUAUUUAUUAUUAUUUAUUGUUAGACAGUUUCUAAAUGGUCUUGAUGAAUGUGAAGGGGUCAUGUUUGCCUUCUUGUUCUUAAUUACAACAUUUAUAAAUUUUGUAAGCUAUUGUAUUUUGCAGAAAAUCUUAAUUACAACAUGUAUAAAUGUUGUAAGCUAUUGCAUUUUGCAGAAAAUCUUAAUUAAAUGUGUUGAUUAAAUGUAAA